AACAGUGAGUGUUGUGCUGAUUUUAUUUGGAACAGCAGCAGAAAUGCAUGCGAAAAAUGUAAGCCAGGUUACAUGGGCAUUAACUGCUCCGAUCAUUGUGAGACAGGUCUUUACGGGGAGGAUUGCGAUAAACGAUGUCCCUCUAACUGUACGAAUUGUCACCAUGUUACAGGGGAAUGUUACACAACCUCAACGGAUGUUGUUACAUGUAGCACAGAUACACUGAAGAUAUCAUCAUUUCCAGAAUUGGAACCGAAGAAGGGCUCAAAAAACAACAGUAUAUUAAGAGCAGUAAUCAUUAUUUUUGGAACUGUGCUAAUUUUAACUCUAUUCUGUUUUUUACUUGUCCAUUUUCAUAGAUUAUUUAAACUGAAAAGUGUUUCUGAGGUAAGACAGAAUGUUGAGCAGAUUUCUGAGACACAAGAAACACCUGUGUAUGAGCAAAUUAACGAAUUAAACAUGUUGAGAAAUGU